CCUACGGGUGGCUGCAGUAGGGAAUAUUGCUCAAUGGGGGAAACCCUGAUGCAGCGACGCCGCGUGAGCGAAGAAGUAUUUCGGUAUGUAAAGCUCUAUCAGCAGGGAAGAAAAUGACGGUACCUGAGUAAGAAGCUACGGCUAAAUACGUGCAAGCAGCCGCGGUAAGACGUAUGGAGCAAGCGUUAUCCGGAUUUACCGGGCGUAAAGGGAGCGGAGGCGGCCUGCCAAGUGUGAUGUGAAAUACCGGGGCUCAACCCAGGGGCUGCAUUGGAAACUGGCAGGCUGGAGUGCCGGAGAGGCGGGCGGAAUUCCUGGUGUAGCGGUGAAAUGCGUAGAGAUUAGGAGGAACACCGGUGGCGAAGGCGGCCUGCUGGACGGUGACUGACGCUGAGGCUCGAAAGCGUGGGGAGCAAACAGGAUUAGAUACCCCAGUAGUC
rnacentral:rRNA from 1 species